AAGAUGCUGUUGCACCGUCUGACACUCUGUCCCCAGGAUGUAGUGACCUUAUCCGAUGUGGCCGUGAACUUCACCCAGGAAGAGUGGACAUGCCUGGAUGUCUCUCAGCGAAAGCUCUACAGGGAAGUGAUGCUGGAGACCUACCAGCACCUGCGGGCUGUUGGGCAUUUGAAGGUGAAGCCUGUGGUGAUCUCCUGGCUGGAAGGAGGAACCCUGAGGCC